AGUUGUAGUUAUUACCCGCCUCUUUGGAUCAUUUCCUGGCAAUUUUAAGGUGUUGUUAUGGCAAAGAGGUGAAUAGGCUCUGGAGUCAAAAGAUCUUAAUAGAACUGCAAUAUGAUCAAUGAGAAUGGAGUCAAACACAGAAAGUCCUACAGUGCCUCUCUCCAGUCAGUUUCUCCCCAUGUUGGCAACUGUUUUCAAUCAUCAUAGAUAAAUUUUCAGU